GCCCAGAAUUGAUAGUGAGGGGGCAAUGUGUGGAGCCAACUUCAAGGUUGAUAAAGAAUCCAGGAUAAGUAACAUGACUCGUGUUGGCAGUGAAGCCAAUUGGGCUUUAAGUGGUCCGAAAGCCUAAGAUCAUCCCAGUGUACAAUAAAAAUCCAACUAUUAUUCUGUGUAUUCUCUCCUUUUCAAGCGCCUUGUUAUAUUUUCCUUCUUAGGCUUUGAUAAUUCGUCUUUUUCUUAGUGCUUCAUUCAAUAAACAAGAGAAUCUUCUCCCUCCCUUACACGUUCCUUUUUAGAUAUACAACCAAUGCAAUGAAUGCCUUGUUGAGAUAUCGAUAUCACGAUAGAAUUCCUACUCCUUGAAUAAAAUGAAAAGUUGGCGUACAAGUACAGAAUUAUAUCUAUCAAAAUCAGCCUAUAUCCAUUUCAAUUCGCUUGAAUCAGAAAUCUAAUAAGAGUUACAGGAGUCUGAGGGAAAAAAAAAAAAAGAUUCAGUAUUUCCACCAAUUAAAAAGGACCAGGGCAGAAGUCCAACUAACCAAGAUGACACUUCCGCACAUCAACACCUUUCUGUGGAUGGACGGAGAAGUCCUCCGAGGGCCAAACUGUUCAGUACUAACCAAAAAAUCAAUCCAAGUCCACAAAAAUCUGCAUCAUUUGAAGUUACAUGAGAACAGGAACGCUGAAAAUGCAAAGAUUAUAUUAUGCACCAAGGCUGGACUCUCUCCACCUAAAUUUGAAAUGGAUUCUCUAGUCAUACAAGGUCACCAUUUACUAGUUCGGAAUUUAGAAACCCAUUAAUUUGCAUGCUACUGUUCCUUAAUUUAGAAAGAUUCAACUUCCCAAGCAAUCAGCUGAGUUGAAGCUUCAUAAAUUCCAAAUGUGGAAAGCCAGAAAAAACAAAAUUAAAGAGCAUCACCAUAUGGCAAUAAAAAAUGCUAGUGAUUUCCAAACCACUGCAGACUAUUGUAGAGAAUUAACCUCUAAAUCAGUCAAUGAGAUCAUGGGUUUUCUUCCCUGAUUUGUCAAACACUGUAAAACCUGUUAUUUUCUGUCCUCCAUGUAUCGUAGCAAUCAAGUUCUGCAAAAAUAAAAGCAGCACUGCACUAAGAAAUCAUAUUUUAUCUCCACCCUCAACAAGCCUAAACAAUGAUGAAGGUCGCAUGUUAGACCAGCUCCAGCAUGAGAAACAUUGUAUGAAUUACUAUGAUUGUAAUAAUUUUCUACCAUCUAAUAACCAAUUUUUAGAAAAUGUCUUAAUCCAAAACCUUAAUGACAACUGAACACAAAUACAUUCACUACUAACUAGAUUGAACUUACGUAUGGGCUCCAAGUUCCUCCACAUCAUGUUCCACAAUGAAAUGAUAACGCUCUCCAGCUCGUAUAGACUCAACAGGGGUUUUUGAUGUGUCCAAUGGAAGGAUCCUCUGCCUUUCUGUUUGAAUUUCUUAAACAUAACAUCCCUAACUUCAAAAAUUAGAACUGUUAUUGAUGCUUAUAUUGCUGGCUGCAAAAGGUCCCCCCCAAAUAUAUAGCCCUGAAAAAGAAAAAUCAUUCAAAUUAAACAAAAAAAAUAAUAAUAAUAAGGGAGAGAACAUGAUAUGAUGCAAUAUCCAAGGACUUGAGGUAGGACGAGGAGACCAGUGAGGCCAAAUGAAUCGGAAGGGUGUUGGAGGAGGAAUGUGGUAGAGCGGAUGAAUCGGUGAGCUUGGUGGCAUGGGCGUCGAUGAGAGGAGGAAGCCGUGAAGCGGCAAUUGGAUCGUUGAAGAUGUCCUCACCGAUGAUAAGAUCGGAGGGGUCUAAACGGACCGGAGCGUCCACGUGAAAUGAAGGCCUGCAUAACCUCAUCACCCGAAAGGCGAGUGAGGGCGUUUGCGUGCCCCGCGUUAUGCUCAUGAUUAUUCCUCUCUCUCACUCACAAUGAAUCUUUUGAUACUGAAAUGACUGAUUAGUGAAUUUGGAAAAGAAAUUCGGGGGAGAGGAAAGGAGAGGGACGGUGACAGUAGAUGCAGGAGCUUGGAUGAGGCUGAGGAGAAGUUGGCUGUUUAUCUGUGGAAGACACUUUCUUUU
rnacentral:misc_RNA from 1 species